rnacentral:rRNA from 1 species
GAGUGAAGCGGCAAAAGCUCAAAUUUGAAAUCUGGCUCUUUCAGAGUCCGAGUUGUAAUUUGAAGAAGGUAUCUUUGGGUCUGGCUCUUGUCUAUGUUUCUUGGAACAGAACGUCACAGAGGGUGAGAAUCCCGUGCGAUGAGAUGAUCCAGGCCUAUGUAAAGUUCCUUCGAAGAGUCGAGUUGUUUGGGAAUGCAGCUCUAAGUGGGUGGUAAAUUCCAUCUAAAGCUAAAUAUUGGCGAGAGACCGAUAGCGAACAAGUACAGUGAUGGAAAGAUGAAAAGAACUUUGAAAAGAGAGUGAAAAAGUACGUGAAAUUGUUGAAAGGGAAGGGCUUGAGAUCAGACUUGGUAUUUUGUAUGUUACUUCUUCGGGGGUGGCCUCUACAGUUUAUCGGGCCAGCAUCAGUUUGGGCGGUAGGAGAAUUGCGUUGGAAUGUGGCACGGCUUCGGUUGUGUGUUAUAGCCUUCGUCGAUACUGCCAGCCUAGACUGAGGACUGCGGUUUAUACCUAGGAUGUUGGCAUAAUGAUCUUAAGUCGCCCGUCUUGAAACACGGACCA